UACAGAGGGUGCGAGCGUUAAUCGGAAUUACUGGGCGUAAAGGGCGCGUAGGCGGUGUGUCAAGUCAGGCGUGAAAGCCCCGGGCUCAACCUGGGAACCGCGCUUGAGACUGGCACGCUCGAGUUCGGGAGAGGAUGGUGGAAUUCCCAGUGUAGAGGUGAAAUUCGUAGAUAUUGGGAAGAACACCGAUGGCGAAGGCAGCCAUCUGGACCGACACUGACGCUGAGGCGCGAAAGCUAGGGGAGCAAACGGG
rnacentral:rRNA from 1 species